rnacentral:rRNA from 1 species
UCUUAAGUACAUGCCUACAUUGUUAAUGAAUUGGAUCCCAUUAGAACUCCACAAUUAAGUGUGCUUGGGCUAGAGUAGUAUUGGGAUGGGUGACCUCCCUAGAAGUCCUAGUGUUUUACAUGC